UCCCACUCCACACCUCUCUCUCUCUCUCCCCCUAUCUCUCUCUCUCUCGGCGGCAAUUCAGCCACCUCCGCCUCUUCCUCACGGCCUCUCCGGCGAAUUGCCGCUCCUCUGCGUCACCGGCUUCACCUCCUCUCUCAAUCUCACACAUCUUUUCCCCCUUUUCCCAAAUCCGGAAAUCCCCAAAUUCAGAAACCCUUAAUUGAGGAGAUGCAGCCCCUCCACUGCCUCUCUCACUCUUUCUCCUUUUCGGCGAAUCGCCGGAUAAGCGUCGGGCGUUUAUCGGUUCUGCUUUGAUGAUGCAGUCUCCGUCGCUGGUUCGCCGACCAAGGGGGCGUCGCCUACUACAAUUCACGGCUGCAUCCACCGCGCCACGCAGCUGCUCAGGUCGACGUUUCCUCGCGUCACCGGAGGCCUGGUAGCUCCUCCCCUCGACGCGCCCCUGCACCGUCGGCUGGUGCCGUUCGCCGCUGCUUUACGGAGUUCGCACGGUGGCCUCUGAGCCAUCGGUCAGUUUCUCGCAUUCUAAGCUAAGUUCUCAUUCUUUAUAAAGUUUAGACCUUGAAUUCUUUUCUAAGGAAGUAUUUUAAUUGAGGAGUUUCAAAGAGGAAGUCUUGGUGUGUAGCUUACUGUGUGAUUAUGUUACUCUAUGCUACUGCCUAUGUUCUCUACAUUCCAUCUCUGUAUUCUGUUGCGGUGUUGGAUCUAAGGCUUGCUCCUAAUGAUGCAAAGAGUAAUGGGGUGUUGAGGGUAUUACCUUACUUGGUGAAUCCUUGGUUUCUUGGCUGCCCUCCUUACUCCCUGCCACUGCCUCUCCUUUGAUACUCCUUGGUAAUACUCGAGCUACCAUGCUCUAUUCUGGCAGCAUGUUACGAGUUCUGUUUAACCAAGUAAACGACCUCAUUUUCUUACCAAAUUUCAGUUGAACAUACUUUUAUGUGUCUUCUAUCAUGUGACCAAAAUUCAGUUUCAUCCGAGUUCAAAUGAAUUUAUAGUGAUUUUUGUAAUGAGACUGCCCCUGUUCUUCCUGGUUUGAAUAAAACAGACAUAAACCCUAAACAAAUUAGAAUUUGAAGUCCAAAGUUAAUCCCCAUAAAAUAGACAGUCAUGGCUUUUAUUUUCAUCUGGUUACGUUGAGUUUCGACUUCGUUGUUGACCAGAAUGAUUUUUCAAAGUCGGUGCAUUUUCUGUAAAAUCUUGGGACAUGAUAAAAGUUGAAAUGCUUAUGCUUUAACCUUAUUUUUUUUGGACAAGUGUAUGAAGAUAUGAUUUCUAAUGUGAAAUCUUGAAGGAGAAAUAAUUGUUUUUGACUAAUCUAAUGUCUUGUAGGAUAUAUGCAUAAAAAUAGACAAGAAUUAUGAAAUUAAGUUAGAAAAUAAUGGUUAACUGUAUGAAUUUGAUACUAUAUGUGAAAGUGAAAUAUAUAUUGAAGGGUAAUCCUACCCCAGGAAAUAACAAGGACAAGGACAAGGAGCAGGAAUAAAGGGAUUCGCGUGUCAAGGGCGUUUUGGAUUUCGAGAUUAGCUCUUUCGAUGUACAGCUGCUCAAGUCGGGUCACUAACCAACCUUUUUGUGUUCAGAAAAUUCUUUCGGAUAUACUAGAUGUGGCAUGUAUAGAAAGUGUAAUAGGGUUGGACGUUUCAUUUAUUUCAUUAUCCAGGUUGUAUAAAUAUAUAUAUAUAGACUUUUGGAAACAGGUUUAUGGUCUAAUUUCAGACGUUAUAUAGCAGUU